rnacentral:rRNA from 1 species
GCUUAUGGCCACACCGCCUGGUUCACGGCUGAUCUCGUUUGAUCUCGGAAGCUAAGAUAGGUUGGGCCUGGUUAGUACUUGGAUGGGAGACCGCCUGGGAAUACCAGGUGUUGUAAGAU